UGGCACUUCGUAAUCUGGAAUCGGGAAUUUAUCAAAUUAGAGCUUUCUCUAGUGUCAGAGUAAAUUAGAGCACAAAUGAUUUUUUUUGAAUAAUACUAAUAAAAUGAGGCUGAUGGUUCCAUUUGCUGUAUCCCAUCUCUCAUUUUGCACACAGCAGCCGAGAUGUCUGUGGAUUCAUAUUAAAAAGAAUGCAGACAUUUCCAGAAUUCAUUUCCAUUUCCAUUUCCAGCUCUGAGGAGGUGUUAACUUCAGAGUACUUCGCUGAUCAUUUUUUUCUCCAGCAGUAAUAAUUGUUUUG
rnacentral:lncRNA from 1 species